rnacentral:sRNA from 1 species
CUUGGUCAUUUAGAGGAAGUAAAAGUCGUAACAAGGUUUCCGUAGGUGAACCUGCGGAAGGAUCAUUCAUAAUAAGUGUUUUAUGGCACUUUUUAAAUCCAUAUCCACCUUGUGUGCAAUGUCAGUCGAUCUUCUUCAUGGAGAUCGACCAAACAUCAACCUUUAUUUUUUAACUCUUUGUCUGAAAAAUAUUAUGAAUAAACAAUUCAAAAUACAACUUUCAACAACGGAUCUCUUGGCUCUCGCAUCGAUGAAGAACGCAGCGAAAUGCGAUACGUAAUGUGAAUUGCAGAAUUCAGUGAAUCAUCGAAUCUUUGAACGCAUAUUGCGCUCUUUGGUAUUCCGAAGAGCAUGCUUGUUUGAGUAUCAGUAAACACCUCAAAGCUUUUGGAUUUUUUAAUCGAAAAGCUUUGGACUUGAGCAAUCCCAACACCAAUCUUUUUGAGAUCGGUGGCGGGUUGCUUGAAAUGCAGGUGCGGCUGGACAUUCUCCUGAGCUAAAAGCAUAUUCAUUUAGUCCCGUCAAACGGAUUAUUACUUUUGCUGCAGCUAACAUAAAGGGAGUUUGACCGUAUUGGCUGACUGAUGCAGGAUUUCACAAGGGUCGGCAACGAUUCUUGUUAAACUCGAUCUCAAAUCAAGUAAGACUACCCGCUGAACUUAAGCAUAUCAAUAAGCGGAGGAAAAGAAACUAACAAGGAUUCCCCUAGUAACGGCGAGUGAAGCGGGAUGAGCUCAAAUUUAAAAUCUGGCUGGUUUACUAGUCCGAAUUGUAGUUUAUAGAAGCGUUUUCGGUGGCAGCCUGGGUAUAAAUCCUUUGGAAUAGGGUAUCAUAGAGGGUGAGAAUCCUGUCUUUGACUCAGUGCAUGCUACUAUGUGAUACGUUUUCAAAGAGUCGAGUUGUUUGGGAAU